rnacentral:lncRNA from 1 species
GCUGAAUCUUGUGAUGAUGACGACAAAGUCUGCACUGGCAAGAUAUAUGGGAAACUUAGUGGUCAUAACUGUCAGAGGAAAGGUGGGAAGCAGUAUGGAUACCAGGGCAAUUGUCUGCGUAUCAAGCAGGCGAUCGGACUUGAGGGAGGAUGCUGCUACUUGAGCUGAAUGAUUCAGAAUGACUUGAAAAUGAAUAACCAUAAAUAAAAGUUUGUUGGUUUUUGUCUUGAACACUUUCAAUAACUGCCCUGCUCGCUGCGGCAAUCUGGAGCGCAUCACGGACCAUCACUUGUGCUCUGGCACGUCUUCAGCUUUGUGGAACUUCCAGAGUUGUUCACAAUGCGGGCUGUCUGCAAGUCCUGGUAUGAUGCUGUGCACUCUCCUCGUUUCGCUCAGCUGUACAAGGCUACAAGCCACCGCUCGAACCCUGGGCCCUGCUCAGGCUGCGGACAGAUCCGCCUAUUGACCAGUUUCGUUUGCUUCUUACAAAAGUCGUGUAGAAGCUAAGAGCUAUCAUGAGGAAACAGACCAGAACAACCUUCGCCUUCAUCUUGUCGCUACAGAGCCGAUCCAGAGCACUAAGAGAAACAGUAGCCUCCGAUCCCAACUCACUGUCGCGGUGCCUUGCCCUUCCAACAAGCAAGCUCCACAGCCUUUCUACUGAC